GAUGAACGCUGACAGAAUGCUUAACACAUGCAAGUCGAUUCGAUUUACCUUCGGGUAUUGAGGAUGGCGGACGGGUGAGUAACGCGUAAGGAACUUGCCUCUUGGUCUGGGACAACUGUUGGAAACGACAGCUAAUACCGGAUAUUAUGAGAUUCUCGCAUGGGAAACUUAUGAAAGCUAUAUGCGCCAAGAGAGAGCCUUGCGUUCCAUUAGCUAGUUGGUGGGGUAACGGCCCACCAAGGCGACGAUGGAUAGCCGGCCUGAGAGGGUGAACGGCCACAAGGGGACUGAGACACGGCCCUUACUCCUACGGGAGGCAGCAGUGGGGAAUAUUGGACAAUGGGCCACAAGCCUGAUCCAGCAAUUCUGUGUGCACGAUGAAGGUCUUCGGAUUGUAAAGUGCUUUCAGUUGGGAAGAAGAAAGUGACGGUACCAACAGAAGAAGCGACGGCUAAAUACGUGCCAGCAGCCGCGGUAAUACGUAUGUCGCAAGCGUUAUCCGGAUUUAUUGGGCGUAAAGCGCGUCUAGGCGGAAAAAUAAGUCUGAUGUUAAAAUGCGGGGCUCAACUCCGUAUUGCGUUGGAAACUGUUUUUCUAGAGUACUGGAGAGGUGGGCGGAACUACAAGUGUAGAGGUGAAAUUCGUAGANAUUUGUAGGAAUGCCGAUGGAGAAGUCAGCUCACUGGACAGAUACUGACGCUAAAGCGCGAAAGCNUGGGGAGCAAACAGGAUUAGAUACCCUG
rnacentral:rRNA from 1 species